rnacentral:rRNA from 1 species
UGGGGAAUAUUGGACAAUGGGCAAAAGCCUGAUCCAGCCAUGCCGCGUGUGUGAAGAAGGUCUUCGGAUUGUAAAGCACUUUAAGUUGGGAGGAAGGGCAGUAAGCGAAUACCUUGCUGUUUUGACGUUACCGACAGAAUAAGCACCGGCUAACUCUGUGCCAGCAGCCGCGGUAAUACAGAGGGUGCGAGCGUUAAUCGGAUUUACUGGGCGUAAAGCGUGCGUAGGCGGCUAAUUGAGUCGGAUGUGAAAUCCCCGAGCUUAACUUGGGAAUUGCAUUCGAUACUGGUUAGCUAGAGUGUGGGAGAGGAUGGUAGAAUGCCAGGUGUAGCGGUGAAAUGCGUAGAGAUCUGGAGGAAUACCGAUGGCGAAGGCAGCCAUCUGGCCUAACACUGACGCUGAGGUACGAAAGCAUGGGGAGCAAACAGG